AUGAAAGCAAACAAUCAGAAUGCCCAGGUCCUUAAAAGCAUCCUUGAUUCGUAUUGUGCAGCAUCGGGACAGCUGGUGAGUGUGGACAAAUCUAGUAUUUUCUUUAGCCCUAACACGGAUGUGCUUAUUCGCGCUGAGAUGUGCUCGACCCUCAAUAUAUUGACCGAGGCAUUGAAUGACACAUACUUGGGCCUCCCAGCAAUUAUUGGCAUGGACAAAAUAGAUUGUUUUCAAUUCCUUAUUGAUAGAGUGAACAAAAGGAUUAAUGGAUGGAAAGAAAGACAGUUGUCGGCAGGAGGUAAGGAGGUUCUACUUAAAUCGGUUAUACAGGAAAUUCCAUCAUAUGCAAUGGGCGUCUUCAAAAUUCCUAAACAAACUUGCAAAGGAAUAACUGACGCAAUGUCGCAUUACUGGUGGGGUGACAGUGGUGACCAGAAAAAGAUGCAUUGGAUGGCUUGGUGGAAGUUGUGUGUACCGAAACAACAAGGAGGUAUGGGGUUUGGGGACAUCCAUUGCUUUAACCUUUGCGUUGUUGGCUAA
rnacentral:rRNA from 1 species